GAAGAAUAAAAAAAAAUACAUUUUUUUCCUAAGAAAUUUAGCACAACGAGGAGCUGGGUCCACAGUUUAAAAACUUGCGGACGUGUUUAAUAUUUACAUCCUCUGACACAGUAAGCGCCCGGAGUUAAUUGAGAGAAAUAAUUAACAGGUGUUUCCAGGCCACUGAGUUUUCAAGAUCAGUGCAUUUAAAGGACUGAAGAGAGUUCCAAACUACGAAGAACUCACGACAGAGUGGAUCAGAGCUGUGCCUCCAGCACCAGUAUCUUGGGUGAGAAGCUCUCAACCACCCAUGACCUCAGCUACAGAAUUGCUUUCAAGGGGGGAAGCUUCCUGUAACCAAGCCUGAGAUAGCCUAGAUUUCUGAAUGACAUCAUCAAGCAAGCAAAGAGUGACAGUCUUUUCCUGUUCCACCUAGUGAACUAAGAGGCCCAACCAACUGUGCCAUCAUGCAUGGUUUGCAAAAGAAAACACCGAAAGCAGCU
rnacentral:lncRNA from 1 species